rnacentral:lncRNA from 1 species
CUAGACCAUAGUAACUCAAACUAAUGUCGAAAUUUGUUGGAUUUUAUUUGAGACAGUCACUAGAUGUCACCACUCUUUCUAUCUCAAUUGAAUAGAAAUCUACUAAUAUUUUUUUAGCUACGCUAUAAUAGAUGGUGCCGCGAUAACUAAAGUCAGCGUCCAUUUUGUUCCUCUAAAUUCAGUCUACCAGUGUUGCAAUAUCUCAUAGACAGUGAUAUAGUGGCAAUAAGUGUAUUUACACCUACAGUUUAGUGUUUCCGUGAAGAAUAUUAAUAUUUUUACCGUAUAGGAAAUCUAUAAAAUAUUCGAGAUGUCUGGAAACUGGAAAUAUAUGUGCGUAUUUUAAGUAUGGUUUAUCACCUUAUAAAAGUCCUGGAUUAAGACUCUUCAGAUUUCCAAUAAAAAAUCUUUUGACUUGUAAAAAAUGGAUAGUACACUCUGGGAAUGCCGCAUUGGGAAUUCUCGAGUUUAGCGAGCGGAUUUAAAAAAAAUAUAUACAGUAAGCAUUUUGAUGAAAUUUUUUUAAACAACGAAAUAUUUAUCCGCUACUGCUGUACCAAAAAAAUACAGUGAGGAAGAAGAGGAAGCUUUGUUACCGACACCACGUGUUUUACAUACGUAUUCGAGAACAAAACAACCAUCAACCAGUGACGAUAUAGUUUCUAACAGUGAUAAUUCUGAACUUAACGAUUUUGUCGCUAUCACCAUUGGUCAAGAAAAAAAAUUUAUAAUUAUCAUACACUUGAAAGGAAAUUGUCUGCAUCUCGAAAACGGAUUAAUCUUCUGGAAACUCGUAUAACAGUACUAAAAAGGAGUCCGGUUAAGAUUGGACAAAAUCUGU